UACGGAAGGCAGCAGUGGGGAAUAUUGCACAAUGGGCGAAAGCCUGAUGCAGCUAUGCCGCGUGUAUGAAGAAGGCCUUAGGGUUGUAAAGUACUUUCAUCGGGGAGGAAAAAACAAAACUAAUAAUUUUAUUUCUUGACGUUACCCGAAAAAGAAGCACCGGCUAACUCCGUGCCAGCAGCCGCGGUAAUACGGAGGGUGCUAGCGUUAAUCAGAAUUACUGGGCGUAAAGAGCACGUAGGUGGUUUUUUUAAGUCAGAUGUGAAAUCCCUGGGCUUAACCUAGGAACUGCAUUUUGAAACUGAAAUACUAGAGUAUCGUAGAGGGAGGUAGAAUUCUAGGUGUAGCGGUGAAAUGCGUAGAUAUCUGGAGGAAUACCUGUGGCAAAGCGGCCUCCUAAACGAAUACUGACACUGAGGUGCGAAAGCGUGGGGAGCAAACAGGGAUUAGAUACC
rnacentral:rRNA from 1 species